CUCAUGCAAGUCGAGCGGACAGAAGGGAGCUUGCUCCCGGAUGUUAGCGGCGGACGGGUGAGUAACACGUGGGUAACCUGCCUGUAAGACUGGGAUAACUCCGGGAAACCGGAGCUAAUACCGGAUAGUUCCUUGAACCGCAUGGUUCAAGGAUGAAAGACGGUUUCGGCUGUCACUUACAGAUGGACCCGCGGCGCAUUAGCUAGUUGGUGGGGUAAUGGCUCACCAAGGCGACGAUGCGUAGCCGACCUGAGAGGGUGAUCGGCCACACUGGGACUGAGACACGGCCCAGACUCCUACGGGAGGCAGCAGUAGGGAAUCUUCCGCAAUGGACGAAAGUCUGACGGAGCAACGCCGCGUGAGUGAUGAAGGUUUUCGGAUCGUAAAGCUCUGUUGUUAGGGAAGAACAAGUGCGAGAGUAACUGCUCGCACCUUGACGGUACCUAACCAGAAAGCCACGGCUAACUACGUGCCAGCAGCCGCGGUAAUACGUAGGUGGCAAGCGUUGUCCGGAAUUAUUGGGCGUAAAGGGCUCGCAGGCGGUUUCUUAAGUCUGAUGUGAAAGCCCCCGGCUCAACCGGGGAGGGUCAUUGGAAACUGGGAAACUUGAGUGCAGAAGAGGAGAGUGGAAUUCCACGUGUAGCGGUGAAAUGCGUAGAGAUGUGGAGGAACACCAGUGGCGAAGGCGACUCUCUGGUCUGUAACUGACGCUGAGGAGCGAAAGCGUGGGGAGCGAACAGGAUUAGAUACCCUGGUAGUCCACGCCGUAAACGAUGAGUGCUAAGUGUUAGGGGGUUUCCGCCCCUUAGUGCUGCAGCUAACGCAUUAAGCACUCCGCCUGGGGAGUACGGUCGCAAGACUGAAACUCAAAGGAAUUGACGGGGGCCCGCACAAGCGGUGGAGCAGUGGUUUAAUUCGAAGCAACGCGAAGAACCUUACCAGGUCUUGACAUCCUCUGACAACCCUAGAGAUAGGGCUUUCCCUUCGGGGACAGAGUGACAGGUGGUGCAUGGUUGUCGUCAGCUCGUGUCGUGAGAUGUUGGGUUAAGUCCCGCAACGAGCGCAACCCUUGAUCUUAGUUGCCAGCAUUCAGUUGGGCACUCUAAGGUGACUGCCGGUGACAAACCGGAGGAAGGUGGGGAUGACGUCAAAUCAUCAUGCCCCUUAUGACCUGGGCUACACACGUGCUACAAUGGACAGAACAAAGGGCUGCAAGACCGCAAGGUUUAGCCAAUCCCAUAAAUCUGUUCUCAGUUCGGAUCGCAGUCUGCAACUCGACUGCGUGAAGCUGGAAUCGCUAGUAAUCGCGGAUCAGCAUGCCGCGGUGAAUACGUUCCCGGGCCUUGUACACACCGCCCGUCACACCACGAGAGUUUGCAACACCCGAAGUCGGUGAGGUAACCUUUAUGGAGCCAGCCGCCGAAGGUGGGGCAGAUGAUUGGGGUGAAAG
rnacentral:rRNA from 1 species